ACAUAAUAAUAGAUCAUAAACUGAUUACCAUUUGAACCUUACGUCAUAACAUCCAAAUUUUAUUACGUGGGACAAAAUUUAUUCGAAUAUCAACAUAAAAAAUGUUGUUCCGACCAAGAUUACUACCGACUUAUUAAGUGAGGGCAGUAUUUCGAUCAAUGAUCAUGGCUUCGUUGUUAUCAUAUCUAACGAAUACAUUGUUCUUUUCUAACUGGCUAAGCUUACCAUUACUAGGACUGCAUAAGGUUAUUGGAAUCCUGACUUCACAAGUUCGUGGCAUUCGACUGUUUGGGAGGACGAUUGAAGAGCCGUUGUAAUCAAAGUACGUAUUUUGAACAUGUAAGUUUGAAGAGUUGAAAUUACUCUGUGUACAGACGUCGUAUCAAUAAAAAGUAAUAUUUUUCUA